AGGACGAACGCUGGCGGCGUGCUUAACACAUGCAAGUCGAGCGAGGCCCUCUCUUCGGAGAGGUGCCCUAGCGGCGAACGGGUGAGUAACACGUGGGCAACCUGCCCCUAGCACUGGGAUAAGCCCGGGAAACCGGGUCUAAUACCGGAUAUGACCUUCAAGGGCAUCCUCGAAGGUGUAAAGGAUUCUGGCUAGGGAUGGGCCCGCGGCCUAUCAGCUUGUUGGUGGGGUAAUGGCCCACCAAGGCAACGACGGGUAGCCGGCCUGAGAGGGCGACCGGCCACACUGGGACUGAGACACGGCCCAGACUCCUACGGGAGGCAGCAGUGGGGAAUAUUGCACAAUGGGCGAAAGCCUGAUGCAGCGACGCCGCGUGAGGGAUGACGGCCUUCGGGUUGUAAACCUCUUCAGCUCCGACGAAGCGAAAGUGACGGUAGGAGCAGAAGAAGCACCGGCCAACUACGUGCCAGCAGCCGCGGUAA
rnacentral:rRNA from 1 species